rnacentral:hammerhead_ribozyme from 1 species
CAGUCUCUGACGAGUCUCAAAUAGGACGAAACGCGCGUCAAACUG